rnacentral:lncRNA from 1 species
AAAGUGAUGGAUAUUAUCUGGUAUAGAAAGUUGAGCUGACCCAAUCAAAUUUCUGGUAUCUCUGAGCAAUGGCAGCUAAAAAAAAAAAAAAAAAAAAAAGUCUUAAUGAGAUUUAUGCAAAAUGAACUAAUGAGAAGCAGAAGUUAAAGCAGAGGAAAUAGAGUCCUCAAAAAGUGAAAGAAUACAAGGGCACGACAGAAAGAAGCAGACAUGCAAAGAGCAGCUAGGAUCCAGUGAUGAUGGAUCAUCAGAGGAAAGCUCCAUUCACUGAACACAGAGGGCUCCAGGGCAUCUCAAGAUGCAGAACCAACCUAAGGCUCCUGUUCCCCAAAGCUCAGGUGUCUUGUUUUCUCUUUAAUGGCAGCUGGACACAGACUCACUGCAGGCAGCCAUGCUUAUGAUGAAGUAUAACAAAGUCAGACAAAGAGGAGGAUGGACUGAGCCCUUAGUCAAAGGACUGAGCCUACCAGCCAGCUGAUGUCCUGGUACCAUUUGCCCUGAAAGGUGACUGCUUCAGAUUGAGAGUCAUUUGCUAUAGUCUGCCUGUUUAAGAAAGCCCAGUCUCUCCAUAUAUCCAGUCCAUUCUGGGUUAAGUACCAAUAUUGAAUAUUUAUCACUAAGUCCCUUACACGUGAUAUUUAAAUAUGUCAUUUGUUAAUCAAUUGCUAUUAUCAUUUCUAUUGUAAAUCAAUGUUAAGUACUUUCCAUGUAUGGGUUUGUUAGUAUUUUAUGCAUACCCCAUGGACCUGGAAAUUAGAGUAACCUCUUCUGAUUUAAUUGUAGUAGUUUCCAUUCGUCUCUCCUGGAUUUUCAGGGUUCUGUUCAUAGGACUGUCUUGUUUUCCCUUAGACUAGACUUCCGUGAUGGCCAUCAUCAUCAUAAUGUCACCAUAUAUUGGGUACUCACCAUGCUUGAAACAUUGCGUAACUAACACACUAACACUCAUUCAAUUCUGUAAGUUGCUACUUUUAUGAUUACUACUAGUAGUACUACUACCACUAGUACUACUAUUAUUAUUACCUCCAUUUUGUAGUUGAGGAAGUUGAGUCAUAGAGAAGCUUCUUGCCCACAGAUCACAAAACUGGGGAGGGUCGGAGCGAGAAUAUGUAACCUAUGUCUGUGUGACUCCAAAUUCUGAGCCCUCGAGAGCUCCACCAUUUACACUCCUCCCUGUCUAGGACCUAAAAAAAACUUCAUUUCUACUGGUUUCACUAAAAUGGUGGCCCAAUGAAUGUCAGGUUAUGGACUAAUUUACCAAAUUAUAAGAACAUGAACUUAGUCUAAAGUGAAUGACAGCUACCUGAAUGUGAUGAGUCUAAGUGAUUGUCUAAGUUAAUCAGCUUCAGAAAAAACAGAGCUGCUUUGUAAGGGAAAGCAGUAAGUAUUAGGAAAAAUGGGUUUCUCUUUUUUUAUUCUUUUCUGUGUGCCACUGGGUAAGUUUCUAGCUACUCUAUGCUUUAAUUCCUAGAGUUGGACUAGAUAGAGUUUAAGGCAGUGUUCUUCAAACUGCAUCUCAGAAGACAUUAGUGGGUUAUGAAAUCAAUUUAGUGAAUCACAACCAUCAUAUUUUAAGAAAUGAAGAGCAGACAUAAAUAUAUUUAUAGCAUUAGUACUAUCCUAUUUGUAGUAUUAGAAUGGUAGAAAAUAAAAAAUAGAGAUACUUAUCUCUAUAGUAAGAU